UGGGGAAUUUUGGACAAUGGGCGAAAGCCUGAUCCAGCAAUGCCGCGUGUGUGAAGAAGGCCUUCGGGUUGUAAAGCACUUUUGUCCAGAAAGAAAUCCUCUGGGUUAAUACCUCGGGGGGAUGACGGUACCGGAAGAAUAAGCACCGGCUAACUACGUGCCAGCAGCCGCGGUAAUACGUAGGGUGCAAGCGUUAAUCGGAAUUACUGGGCGUAAAGCGUGCGCAGGCGGUUUUGUAAGACGGAUGUGAAAUCCCCGGGCUUAACCUGGGAACUGCAUUCGUGACUGCAAGGCUAGAGUAUGGCAGAGGGGGGUAGAAUUCCACGUGUAGCAGUGAAAUGCGUAGAGAUGUGGAGGAAUACCGAUGGCGAAGGCAGCCCCCUGGGCCAAUACUGACGCUCAUGCACGAAAGCGUGGGGAGCAAACAGGAUUAGAUACCCUGGUAGUCCACGCCCUAAAACGAUGUCAACUAGUUGUUGGGGAUUCAUUUCCUUAGUAACGUAGCUAACGCGUGAAGUUGACCGCCUGGGGAGUACGGUCGCAAGAUUAAAACUUAAAGGAAUUGACGGGGUCAUAGCUGUUUCCU
rnacentral:rRNA from 1 species